UACGUAGGUGGCAGGCGUUGUCCGGAUUUACUGGGCGUAAAGAGCGCGCAGGCGGUCGAUCAAGUCGAGUGUGAAAGCCCCCGGCUCAACUGGGGAGGGUCAUUCGAUACUGAUCGACUCGAAGGCAGGAGAGGGUAGUGGAAUUCCCGGUGUAGUGGUGAAAUGCGUAGAUAUCGGGAGGAACACCAGUGGCGAAGGCGACUACCUGGCCUGUUCUUGACGCUGAGGCGCGAAAGCUAGGGGAGCAAACGGG
rnacentral:rRNA from 1 species